rnacentral:misc_RNA from 1 species
CUCACCGGCCGGGUCCGCCGAAGCACAGAGGCUCGAGCAGGACCCCGUUUACAUGGGCAACAGUCUGGUAGGCGACCCUUCCAGGUCGCAUGCCUCUGGUGCCUGGGGAGCCUGCUUACAGAGAGCCCGCAGGAAGUGGCUGCUUGCCACGCCUUCACCCAUUCGACCUGAGUUCAGGCAAGAGCACCCGCUGAACUUAA